rnacentral:rRNA from 1 species
CGCGCAGGCGGCUCUGAAAGUCAGAUGUGAAAGCCCCGGGCUUAACCUGGGAAUUGCAUUUGAUACUCUGGAGCUUGAGUACGGGAGAGGAUAGUGGAAUUCCCAGUGUAGAGGUGAAAUUCGUAGAUAUUGGGAAGAACACCAGUGGCGAAGGCGGCUAUCUGGACCGUAACUGACGCUGAGGCGCGAAAGCGUGGGGAGCAAACAGGAUUAGAUACCCUGGUAGUCCACGCCGUAAACGAUGUGCGCUAGACGUUGGGAAGCUUAGCUUCUCGGUGUCGCAGCUAACGCGAUAAGCGCACCGCCUGGGGAGUACGGCCGCAAGGUUAAA